ACACGUUGUAUGCCUUUUUUUAAAAAUGUUGUACUGCCGAUACACACCUGGGACUCGAAUCUACUCACUAGUUAUGCAACAUUCACGUAUGCAACUAUCCUAAUAAGUACUGAAACAGUUUAAAUUUACAAUAAUUAACAAACAUGUAGUCUCCUGCUCGAAUUAUGACCCUCAAGAUGACCCCAAAUGCUUAAGACUAAAUCCUAAAAGGAACUAAAGCAAUGGAAUCAUGCCAUGCAUCAAACCAGAACUGAAAUUAAAACACUGACCUAAGCAAACCAAACCAACAAGAUGUUCCACAACUAACUUAAGCCUGCACUACAGAACACUCAAACCUUCUAAAUGUUCAAUCACAAAAACCCUCAGCCCAAAUCACAAACCAACAUGUUAGGCUAAGAUCCUAAACCAUAACUUGAAGAUGAAAUAUAAGAACAACAACAUGAUCGAGUGGAAAACACAUAAAAAGAAACUGAAAUUAAUAUAGAGACAUGGAAAGACUCUGAAGAGCAUAAGUUAAUAUUCAGCAAAACACUGAUAUUUAUCCUCAAAUCUCCAACUUGGUUACAUGUUUCAGAUCUGCACCUCACAUAUCAUUAGGGGCCAAGAAGUACCUGGAGGUUAAAAUAAACAAACGAAGAUGAGGAGUUCAGCAAAAACAGAAGAGUGAGUAGAUCAACAAAUCCACACAACAAUAUUCAGCUCCCUUAAGCCAUAUUUAACCCCAGAUAAAUCAGAAAUCCCUUAAAACUUCUAAGUUCUUACUAACAGUGAAAACCAAAGAGCAAUUUCAAACAACUUUCAACCAAAAUGAUGCAGAAACUUUGAGUGUUUUUUUAGGGUCUGAAUGAUUGAUUUUUGAGUGAAAGAAGGGUCUACAUAUAGCCCUUUUUGGGUGCCAUGUGCUGCAGAAAUAGAAUGAGAAUUAUUCCCUCACACAAGCAUCUUUUUUAAUAGAAUGGGACAACUGUCAAUCUCUAAUUGGUUUCAAUAAUUUCUGCUGGCCAAACAGGGCUAGCUGCCUCUUAUUCUAGAUCCUUCCAGUAGGUUCUUUUACCCUAUCAAGUUACCCACCCCUCAGAUAAACCCCUGAAGUUUUCCUUUUACUAUUGAACCCCCCAAACGUCCAAUUGCCUAUGAAUUAGUACUAACAAACAAAAGCAAGACUGACACAACUUAAUUGAUUGAAAGUACCAAACACUUAGGCGACUAACUCUUGAAUUAACUCUAAACUUAAACAAUUUUAUCACUAAGAGAGAUCAGAAAUGUCACAUCAUUUAAACAAUUGAAACCAAUAUUAACAAUAAUUAAUAACUGAACCAUCCCUGAGGUUUGAACUUUUUGAAUCCAAUUACACACUGCCAUUAAUAAGCAAUCACACUACAAUGAAAGAUUAAACAUGCUUGUUCCUAAACGAACUUGCCUAAGCUUGAACUAAACCAAUCUGGAUAAACCCUAUCCAAAAAAUGAUAAUCUAAUGACAUUGAUAGAAAAUUCAUGAACUAAUCCUAAAAUAACUGACUAACAUUAAUGAUUAAUCAUAGAGAAAAGAAAACGAAAACCUAACAGCCUAAAAUUAUGACUAACUACACCUUUUCAUUUUUCGGUCAAAAGAAAUAGAAAAAGUAGAAGAAAUCAAAAAUGUAAAGAAGAAGCUAAAGAAGGACAGGAGGAUGAGGAAAUAGAAAAAGGGAAGAAGAACAAGUACCUACUGCAAUGAACGACCAGUGGCUCCGGCUGGACCCAUCCCUUUCCGAUUUAAAAUCCAAAAAUUGGUGUCAAAUGAUUGUUCCCAUUGAGAACAUACAUGUAACACCCAUUUCCGGCUCAAAUCAUCUUGGAAGCUCAUGCAUGCCAAACCAGAUUUGAAAUUGGUGAAGUUUGAGAGGGAUUCAAGGGGAUUGAUUUAAGGAUCUAGGAAGAAGAGGAGGUGGGGAGUGUUUGGUGUAAUUUGGGUAAAUUAAGGCUUAUGGGGUCCGAUUUUAGAUCUAAGAUUGGAGAGGAUUGAGAGGGAUUCGAGGGAAACAGUUUUGGGAUUUAGAAAGAUGAGGGUGAGUAGAUCUUGUGGUGUUAAUUUGGAAGGGAUCGGAGUGUCGGAACCGCCGUGAGGUGAUUUCCGGCGAGUGGAAUAUGGGGGUUCUAGGGCGGCGGUCUCUAGGGUUAGCUUGAGGGAAACGAAGGUUAGGG
rnacentral:lncRNA from 1 species